AAUGAGCAAGCCAGAUGCUGGAGUGUGAAAGAGGAGUGUGUGUGUGUGUGUGUGUGUGUGUGUGAGAGAGAGAGGAAGAGAGAGGAAGAGGAGGAGGGACGUCUACACCAUAUCACUUCUGUCCUUCACCAUCAACACGUCAGGAAGUAAAAUCUUCUGCAUCUCCACAUCACACCUCAGGAGUGUACAACUGGACAUCAACAUGUUUGUGAUGAGGUUCAAACACAUUCAUGCAACACGUCUUAUCACACAUGUAAAGAAAUGUAUUACAAAGUUACAGUGAAGAAAUCCUGGGACCCAGACCACAUUCUGUACCAGAACCGGGCCGAAACCAGACACUCCAGUGAAAACAUAUCAGAUUUCAGAUCCUGUAACAAAGGCAAUAUUGAGAACUGGAUUUGGAAGAUUCCAAGUCCUGGUUGUAGGACACAGUUGGACUGUCGAGACCUUUCUGGAAGUUCAGCGUCCCGCUGCUUUGUCUACAUCUGAACAACAAAAGGUGGAAGAAGAGGGCCUCAUCAACACUUCGAGCGGCGCCAUAAUUAACCGACUCCUGAGGUGGAUGAUAACAGGCUCAUGAUCUCCACAGUAAAGAGAGAAAUGGACAGCAGUGGAGAAGAAGGACAAGGACAGAGGGACAGAUUAAGCUGAAGGUUACAAAGAGCAAAGAACAGCAGGAUGGACACGCAGUGAGACGACUGGAAGGACGCCA